UCGUUACAUGGGACUUUGGUGCAACUAUUGAGAAUUAAGCCGGAUCUGAUUGGUGAGGAACUAAUGUCGACUUUGGAUUGGAAAAAGAAGGUCCUAAGAAUUAAGACAGAGUAAGUAGUAAAAGCUUUGUGAAGGAAAUCAUUCAGUAGAAAAUUAUGUGGGAGAAAGAGAAUCGGAUGAGAGAGAUUUACUCGAAGCUAUUGUUGGAGUGUUGAUGAAUUGGUUGGUUACUGGAAUUUCGGGGACGAAAUUCUAUAAGGAGGGAAGAUUGUCACAGCCCGUCCCGGGAUUUUUCAUUCCGAGGACGUGAAAUUUCAAAAAUGACCUUAAACGAGAUUAAGGUGUGUAAAGAGAUGACAUUUGUUUUAUUUAAAGUUCCUAAACUAUGGUUAAUUUGUGUUAGGGACUAAAACUAGGUUGUAAUGUUGUGUUUGGGUUAAGGUGGGAUCCUCAUACCUCAAAGCACUCCCUAAAACCCGUAACCUUUCCUUCUCUCUCUUCUUCUUCCAUUUCAGAUCUCUCUCUCUCACCCUCUCGAACACACGGCAACCACCAAGACCACCACAAAAACACCCUAAACUUCCACCAACGACGGAUUUAAGAGUGCCAUCGUACUCCUGAAGACCAUACGAUCACGAUGAUACCCAUUUCAAGUAAGUUUCACUUCGAAAACCCUAGUUUCUAAAGUUGCCGUGAAUGUGUACUGUUCAUGAGCUUUGAAUUGGUUGUGUUUUAGGCCAAACCAAGCUCAUAGUGAGCUUUAGGAUGUCCCAAGGAAGCUCGGAGUGCUUCGUUGGAAGUUUUUGGACGUAAGAACACGGAGAUCGACAAGUUCAAAGUUUGGCCGGAGCUUUCGAGGCGUUUUCCGGCGAAUCCCCGGAGAGUUAGGAGUCGAGGUAGGUAUCAAUCUCUUCGUCUCGUCAAGUACUACAACUUUCCUUUUUGUUUCACUCAAUUUCGUUGAGUAUUGAAGAAGUUAUACUCAUUUGAAAAAUACCCAGUUUCCGGCGACCUCCGAGGCUUUCGAGGCAGUUUCCGGCCAAACCAAGGCGAACUAGAUGUUGUGCAAGGUACCAUUCUCUUUUUCUCUUCAAGGGCUAAAACUUUCGUUUUUGAAUCACUUGAUUUCGUUGAGAAAUGACAAAGUUAUGGCAAUUUGAAAAACUGCCCAGAAAACGGCCGCCGGAAAAACCAGUCCGGCGACCCAAGGAAGAAGAAGGUGCUACAGUAAAAAAAAUAAAAUUUUUUUUUUUUAAAAAUAUGUCGACGUCCGUGACGUCGAGUAGAUCACCGUGGUAUAUUCAUAUACCCAAUUUGAACACCGUAUGAGGAAGUUAUUAAGGAUUGUUGGUUAGGUGUUCAAAUAACGUUUUAUAGUUUUUGCAUUUAGGUGAAAAUGUGAAUUGACGAUCCGACCGUUGGAUCGUUACCAAACUUUGAUACGUUGUAAUACGUAAUAUUUGAGGAUUAUUGGAACUUACGGAUUGGGAAUCCGAGUUACGGAUCUUCCGGAAUUGGAAUUGCAAGUCCAUAAUAUAAAAUGUUAACCGUCACUUAGUUUUGGAAAUUGACGGAGAUCCGACCGUUGGAUGGUAAUGAAAUUUUAGGAUGUUAUCCUAGAGAUAUAUUGUGGACCUCUGGAAGUUAUGGAUUUAAAAUCUGAGUGGCAGAUCUUCCGGAUCGAACUACGUAGUAACGUAUUUUAUAUAAGUUAUAUAUUCUAUCGAUAUGAAUUCUGAGGUUGGAUUUGAUUACUAUUCUAGGCGGCGAUCGUCGUGACGCCUUGAUGUGUGGUGCUAGGGAGUUGUUGGACGAACUCCAGGUGAGUGGGC
rnacentral:lncRNA from 1 species